GCCCCGCCGCCCCUGGCAGGAGCAGCCGGGGCACCGGGCGAGCAGCGGCCCCGCCCGCAGCGGAAGGUCUCCACUGUUGUAAUUGGAGGAAUAGAGAAUGUUGUCUUCACUUUUAAUAAUUUGUCUAUGGGACAAGUACUUUUUCUAAUGGCAAUAUCAGUCAUCCAACACUGAUCUGCACAACUGAAGGGCUUUGAAAAACACUUCAUCUGGAAAUCAGACCUUUUCCAAGAUGACUUUCAGAUGACACUGCAUCGUGUCUUCAGGAAGGGCUGCUUCUGCACGGGAGUGAAGGGAGCACUCUUCAUCUUUCCUUCCUGGCCCACUUGCUUGGUGUGUUCCUGGUUGUCUUGGUCUAGUCCAGUCCAUCACACCUGCUGGCUGCUUGAGGCCAGGGUUUCAGUUCAUUCCUCACUGCUUCUACUCCGGAGCGAGGAGGUGGAUAGAUUCCUAACUAAGAUCUGAAUAACAAUAAGAUGCCUCUACCUACAUCUUCCAUCACAGCCGGCCAUCCACUCUCUUGAAAGGUAUAGAAACAGAACGAGAGAAUCACUGCCUUACAAACAAGCAAACAAAAGAACAAAGCAGGUAGAAGAUCUCUCUCCACUGCCCCUACUUCAGUCUGUGUUCUUCUGAACAAGACUAAUGUUGGGAUCAUUAUGCCAACUCAUAUGCCCGCUCAGAAGAGGAGCAAAUCUGAUGGACCAAGAAGUACAGGAUUAGCUCUGAAGACACUGACCCUGUUCAGACCCUGAAUUUCUCUUCAUUUCCAGGUGGAAGAGAUGAUCUGCACUAUAAACACAUAACCAUCCUCAGCUAAUCUCCAGCAGGAAAUCACAGAGUGUUUCUGUGCAAGUUCAGUCAGGUGCAGACUGCAUUUGUGAUGGUACAGAAGAAGGACUUGCUAAUGCUUGGCUCCCACCUGUGCUCUGCAGUGAGACAUGGCAAAGCCCAGUCCUCAAGCCUCCUUCCUGAGAUCAGGUAGAGUCUGCAGGUACAUGUUACAGGUUCCACCAGCUUCACAGCAUCACCCUGAUGGAGCCUGAAAAUCAUCACCCAAUGCAGCUCAGAGUGUCAUUGUUUCCCCACUGGCUGGAUACUCCUGCACCUUCUGGCACAGAUUCAGGCAGUGAUUAUUGCUUAAGACACCAUCUCUUUGAAGAGUAUAUUGUACGAUAAUGCAGUAAUGCUCCAUUUCAGGUAGGUAGUCCAGAUAAUAUUUUAAAUAUUACUAUACUGUUCCUAGCUUGAUUUUUUUUUCAGACUCAAAGCAAAAUCAUUAAAAAUAUCUUUUUGAAUAUGGGCAAAAUAAGAAUAGAUCUCAAAUAUAAGCUGACAUAAGCCCAUUUCAUCCAUGCUGGGAAAUUCCUCACUUUUUGUAGA